AAUCAACGCUGGCGGCGCGCUUAACACAUGCAAGUCGAGCGAGAAAGGGAGCAAUCCUGAGUAAAGCGGCCUACGGGUGAGUAACACGUGGAUCAUAUACCUUUUAGUGGGGAAUACCCUUGGGAAACCGAGGACAAUACCGCAUAAUCCCGGGAGGGGAAAGCAGCAAUGCGCUGAAAGAGUAGUCCGCGGCUGAUUAGCUAGUUGGUAGGGUAAAGGCCUACCAAGGCUGUGAUCGGUAGCCGGCCUGAGAGGGCACACGGCCACACUGGCACUGAAACACGGGCCAGACUCCUACGUGAGGCAGCAGUGGGGAAUCUUGCACAAUGGAUGAAAGUCUGAUGCAGCGACGCCGCGUGAGCGAUGAAGCCCUUCGGGGUGUAAAGCUCUUUCGACAGGAACGAUAAUGACGGUACCUGGAGAAGAAGCUGCGGCUAACUACGUGCCAGCAGCCGCGGUAAUACGUAGGCAGCAAGCGUUGUUCGGAAUUACUGGGCGUAAAGCGUGCGUAGGCGGUGGCUCAAGUUUGGUGUGAAAUCUCCCGGCUCAACUGGGAGGGUGCGCCGAAAACUGAGUUGCUCGAGUGUGGGAGAGGUAGGCGGAAUUCCUGGUGUAGCGGUGAAAUGCGUAGAUAUCAGGAGGAACACCGGCGGUGUAGACGGCUUACUGGACCAUAACUGACGCUGAGGCACGAAAGUGUGGGGAGCAAACAGGAUUAGAUACCCUGGUAGUCCACACCCUAAACGAUGCAUACUUGGUGUGAGCCAUUCAUUUGGUUCGUGCCGGAGCUAACGCGUUAAGUAUGAC
rnacentral:rRNA from 1 species